AUACGGAGGCUGCAAGCGUUGUUCGGAAUCACUGGGCGUAAAGGGCGCGCAGGCGGUUUGGUAAGUCAGAUGUGAAAGCCCACGGCUCAACCGUGGAAGUGCAUUUGAAACUGCCAGACUUGAGUACCAGAGGGGAAAGUGGAAUUCCCGGUGUAGAGGUGAAAUUCGUAGAUAUCGGGAGGAAUACCGGUGGCGAAGGCGACUUUCUGGCUGGAUACUGACGCUGAGGCGCGAAAGCGUGGGGAGCAAACAGGAUUAGAAACCCUUGUAGUCC
rnacentral:rRNA from 1 species